rnacentral:lncRNA from 1 species
UUUCCGAAUAAACUUGACUUACACAGAAAUAUUUGCCACUGGUCUUUAUUCAAACAACGAUUCACUCAUAAAUGCAUUACUUAAAAAGUGUGAGGUAAAUGUAUUGUUUGUGCAAUAUCUCGGAUCCGUGAAAUUACACUUAAAAGUAAAAAAAAAAAAACAUAAUCAACCCCCCCCCUUUUUUUGCCAAAUACUUCUUGGAGAAG